GAUAGUCGAAGCAGAAAAUGAUGAGUGUCAUAGAUUAGAUCUAAAUUUAUUCUAUAAAUGAAAGUGUAAGCACUCCACCUCAAGAGUAAUUUGGCAACAUUGGAACUGAAAUCAUUAGACCGUUUCUGAAACCAGUAGUGAAGUAUGUUGUUCAAUUAGAGAGCACGCAAAAAACCUUACCACAAUUUGAAUAUUUAUAUUUAGCAAACAAACCAAACUAAUAUAUUUACAAGCGUUGCACGGCUGUCUUCAGUUAAUGUCGCGAGACUUUGGUUAGUUCCAUUGAAUUAACGCAAACCCUUACUUUAUUUUUACAUAAAGUAGUUCCCCGGUACACUGGAUAUGAUAACAGGGAUCAAGACAAGUCAUCAUGACCUAUAUAUUGU
rnacentral:rRNA from 1 species